ACACAUGCAGUCGAGCGGAUGAAGGAGCUUGCUCCUGGAUUCAGCGGCGGACGGGUGAGUAAUGCCUAGGAAUCUGCCUGGUAGUGGGGGACAACGUUUCGAAAGGAACGCUAAUACCGCAUACGUCCUACGGGAGAAAGCAGGGGACCUUCGGGCCUUGCGCUAUCAGAUGAGCCUAGGUCGGAUUAGCUAGUUGGCGAGGUAAUGGCUCACCAAGGCGACGAUCCGUAACUGGUCUGAGAGGAUGAUCAGUCACACUGGAACUGAGACACGGUCCAGACUCCUACGGGAGGCAGCAGUGGGGAAUAUUGGACAAUGGGCGAAAGCCUGAUCCAGCCAUGCCGCGUGUGUGAAGAAGGUCUUCGGAUUGUAAAGCACUUUAAGUUGGGAGGAAGGGUUGUAGAUUAAUACUCUGCAAUUUUGACGUUACCGACAGAAUAAGCACCGGCUAACUCUGUGCCAGCAGCCGCGGUAAUACAGAGGGUGCAAGCGUUAAUCGGAAUUACUGGGCGUAAAGCGCGCGUAGGUGGUUUGUUAAGUUGGAUGUGAAAUCCCCGGGCUCAACCUGGGAACUGCAUCCAAAACUGGCAAGCUAGAGUAUGGUAGAGGGUGGUGGAAUUUCCUGUGUAGCGGUGAAAUGCGUAGAUAUAGGAAGGAACACCAGUGGCGAAAGCGACCACCUGGACUGAUACUGACACUGAG
rnacentral:rRNA from 1 species